UACGUAGGGUGCAAGCGUUGUCCGGAAUUAUUGGGCGUAAAGAGCUUGUAGGCGGUUUGUCGCGUCUGCUGUGAAAUUUCGGGGCUCAACCCCGAACUUGCAGUGGGUACGGGCAGACUAGAGUGUGGUAGGGGAGACUGGAAUUCCUGGUGUAGCGGUGAAAUGCGUAGAUAUCUGGAGGAACACCGGUGGCGAAGGCGGCAUCCUGGACCGGCAUUGACGCUGAGGCGCGAAAGCUAGGGGAGCAAACGGG
rnacentral:rRNA from 1 species